UACAGAGGUGGCAAGCGUUGUUCGGAAUUACUGGGCGUAAAGAGCGUGUAGGCGGCCAGAUAGGUCUGUUGUGAAAACUCGAGGCUCAACCUCGAGACGCCGAUGGAAACCAUUUGGCUAGAGUCCGGAAGAGGAGAGUGGAAUUCCUGGUGUAGCGGUGAAAUGCGCAGAUAUCAGGAAGAACACCCGUGGCUAAGGCGGCUCUCUAGUACGGUACUGACGCUGAGACGCGAAAGCGUGGGGAGCGAACAGG
rnacentral:rRNA from 1 species